AGCUGUCUGGCUGUCAGAUAAAACUUCACCGCCGAAAAGAAGCAGGGCUUCCGCCUAUCGACCCGCAUUGACUUCAACUGAGCACGCGGCCCGCAGUCUCCGUGCCAGUUCCGUGCCUACGGCUGCCCUGUCAGUGCAGUUUUAGUACCCCCGGAGGCUGGCCGUGGCGGCUGGAUGGCUGCGAGGCCCGGGGAGAGACGUCAUGUGGAUGUCACGGCUUCCCGCGGGUCGGUACGCCCCCACGGUCCAGCUGCUGAAGAAGGUGUGUCCUCAGCGGAAGCCACGGCGGCCAUCAGGAGAUCAGCCGCUGCUUGAAGCGCUCUCUCCAGCUGGAGGCGGGACUCCUGGGCGCACCUGCACUUGAUGAGCUCCUGAGUCCUGAGCAGACGGACGGCACCUGCAGGCUGCGUUUGCUUCACACACCGUCUCCCAGAAAGCAGCUCCAGUGCUCCCUGCUCUCCAGCUUGCCACCCCUUAGCACUAGUUGUGUCUGUUGUUCGUGGUGCCAUUUUUGUUUCAUUCUUCUAUGCACCAUCGCCCUUUGUUGCUUUGCCCGCUACACACUUUAUCAAGACUUUUUACCUGCACACCUGCCUCCUCCCUCUGCAUCGGGGGUCCACUACUGGUCCAUUCGUAACAAGAUCGAGUGGGGGAAAAAGGCUCUCCUCUCAUUCUGUGUGGAAGUGUGCCAUGAAGCGGGGGAGGAGGGCUCUCGGACGGUCAGCGGCACCAGAGGUCCGAUCUGCACUCCAGCCGACCACUCGGGCCCGGUGGGCCAGGGGGGCCCGUGCCUGCCUGUGAGAGGGUGCUGGACUUGAGGCCUCAGCAAAGCGGAUUGACCAGAACAGCAAAGCACGAGAUGGUCUGAUGAGGUUUGACAGAUGACUAAAUGUGUCGAAACCUACAGGCACCCACGGAGGAUCGAAGCAGCAAGAGAGAGAUGACCCCCGCCUGCACACAGAGGGUACAGAAUGUUACAUGACAGGCUAAAUGUGAAAUGAAUUUCCACCAAUGGGGGUCAAGACUGAAACUUAAAAUGUGGGACAUUUGAGAAAAGUCCUGAUAGCUGACAUGUCCCGAGUGAGCUCAGCAUGUUGAUUGGUUAGAAUCUGCUGAGAAAUGUGGGAGUGGUUAGCGAGCAAGAAAGGGCGGAAUUCGAAAUGUUGGAAUGUAAAAAUCGAGGAUGACGGUUGAAAUGUAGAAACGUGUUGUGGAUGGAAGCAGCAACCAGUGGGGAGACAACCAAUCUACCACCUGAGCCAACAGCCAUGAAACGUUUGAAAGUAAAAAAUGCAGACUCAAUGUGGAAAUGUAGAAUGAUAACAGUGGCAUGGAGGAUCGAACCAGCAGCCUUCGGGCUGGGAAAGAAAGGCGCCCCCUCCCGAGCCAUGUCACCUGUACAAUAAGCAGAAUGUCAGUCAUGGGAAUUGAAAUAAAUGAUUUCCCACCAGUAUGGAGCUCCAAAUCAAUGUGCCCAUUCAGUUUCAACAGGAAAAUUGUCACAGAAAAUAUGAAAUGACAUUAAAGGUGUUUUUUUUUUAUACGUCCGCCGUGU